rnacentral:rRNA from 1 species
UACGUAGGGUGCGAGCGUUGUCCGGAAUUAUUGGGCGUAAAGGGCUCGUAGGCGGUUUGUCACGUCAGGAGUGAAAACUCGGGGCUCAACCCCGAGCCUGCUUCUGAUACGGGCAGACUAGAGGUAUGCAGGGGAGAACGGAAUUCCUGGUGUAGCGGUGAAAUGCGCAGAUAUCAGGAGGAACACCGGUGGCGAAGGCGGUCCUCUGGGCAUUACCUGACGCUGAGGAGCGAAAGUGUGGGGAGCGAACAGG